UCACAUGUACAAAUGUCGAAAUUAAAAAGGAGUCGCUCUCAAAAGGCUACUAACCCGGUUUCCCCUUCAAAACACCAUUGACAGAUACUUUUCCCCUUCGCCGAAAAUAUCGCAGUGAAUAGUUUGAAUUCACCUUUAGAGGAUCUCACUCUCAGCAGUCCCCAAAAAAAGCGUUCCAAACUAACCGGAUCAGUUGAUGCUUCUCCUAGACUUCCACCGUUCCAUUUUUCAUGCCCAAAUGUGAAUAAAAACCAGUCAUCACCUACCAAAAGAAAGCCAUCAACGCCUACAAACUACUCCAAGAAGUUAUCCCCAAAAAAAUCUGUCAGAGCUCUUUUUCCAACUUCAAAAAGAAAAGAGACGAUGUGGAUGACAGUAGCUCCUCGGCGAGAAGUUUGAAAAUCGACUUGAAUGCCAACGAAGCGAAUGUUUCACCGAUGAAAGUAGAUUGCCGCACCAGUCCCAGGAAAAAAGCAGGUACUCUCAGCACGGAAAAAUUUUUUAUGAAGACUGAUGAUGUUCAUCGGGAUGAGCACUCAUCCGAGUCUGAAGAAGAGGUGGAAUUCAAAGGAGAAAAUGCAUCACCAACUAUCAAGUUAAUGGCCACGAAUUCUUGCAGUCAUGCUGUUUCUGAAGCAGUCUCACCAACUCCUACACAAGAAGGGUUAAACUUCUUUAGAGAUGUGGCAUCUUUCAUUUGUAAGAAAUACCACAAUCUGGAGCGACGUUUAAAUUUGAGCUUCCCUAUCUGUGAGAACAAAGAGCUCACUGAAAGAGAACGUGAGAGUGCAGCAGUUGCUGAGUCACUCAUGGCUGUCAUCCAGGUCGACAGUUUUUCUGACGCAGGGAUCGAUCUGACAGGAAACUUCUUAUCUGAAAGAAAAUACCUAAGUUGGCAGCUAUUGCGCCACAUCGUGUAUUUCACAAUGAAUUAUUGCAAUGAUGAAGACUGGAUGAAAUGUUUAAAGAUAUGCUUCAAUCAAUUAGCGCUUCACCCUCCUGUUUCAUGUAACAUGCGUCAAUAUUAUUCAUUAUUACUGGAUCAUGAAGAAGAAAUGAAUUUUUCUAAAAAAACUCAAAAAGGUCUUCUGACCUAUGUAAUGGAAGAACUGUCUGAGAAGUACAAGUACACCUCUCCAGCAAACUGUAAACGAGCAAGAAAGAAAAACCCCAAAUACUCAGAUUAUUCAGAAAUGGAUGAGGAGGUUGAAGAUGAGGAGAAAGGAAAAGGAAAGAAAGGAGCAGUAACACCACAGAAAGGAAAGAAGAAUGAGAAAAAAAUAGUUUCAUGGCUUUCAACUGAUGAUGAUGAAAUCGAUAAUAGUGAAAUCAAUGAGACACUUCAGAAUGCCAUUGAUGAUGUUGGGAGAAAGCAACAAAAGAUUCUUGGCCGUGUAAUCCUAGAAGAAAGGCAGUUGCAAUUGUUUGAUUUUGUGAUAAGAAUUUUACAAGUUGAUUUUCUGGAAUGGAGCAAAAAAUGGGGUCUCAAUUGCCGAGAAAAACUGGUUUCUACACAUGAAUCACCUCUAGUUGCGACGUUGAUGUGGGAUAGAAAGUUGGGAUUCAGUGCAAUUUCACCUCGCAUCAAAGAAGUCUUCCAUUUUUAUGUUAAUUCUGAACCGCAGCAUCGAACAUAUUAUGAAAGAUUUAUCACUUUAAUGGUAGAGGUGAUGAGGAUCUUUGAAGGUGAGGUCACCAAACUAGAUGGGGCAUUAUUUAUGAAUUUCCCGCAUAAAGGUGAAAUGCUAGGUGAAAAGUGCAGGAGCUUUGCUGAUGAAUUUUUCUUCAUUGUUUCGGUUCUCCGACCCACAUGUCUGCAACGGAAGUCCACAAUAUCAAUUUGA
rnacentral:lncRNA from 1 species